GCGGUAAUAGCUCAGCUGGUAGAGUAAAAGCUUCCCAAGCUUUGGGUCACGGGUUCGAAUCCCGCUUACCGCU
rnacentral:tRNA from 1 species